rnacentral:rRNA from 1 species
AGUGAACGCUGGCGGUAGGCCUAACACAUGCAAGUCGAACGGCAGCACAGUAAGAGCUUGCUCUUACGGGUGGCGAGUGGCGGACGGGUGAGGAAUACAUCGGAAUCUACUUUUUCGUGGGGGAUAACGUAGGGAAACUUACGCUAAUACCGCAUACGACCUACGGGUGAAAGCAGGGGAUCUUCUGACCUUGCGCGAUUGAAUGAGCCGAUGUCGGAUUAGCUAGUUGGCGGGGUAAAGGCCCACCAAGGCGACGAUCCGUAGCUGGUCUGAGAGGAUGAUCAGCCACACUGGAACUGAGACACGGUCCAGACUACUACGGGAGGCAGCAGUGGGGAAUAUUGGACAAUGGGCGCAAGCCUGGUCCAGCCAUACCGCGUGGGUGAAGAAGGCCCUCGGGUUGUAAAGCCCUUUUGUUGGGAAAGAAAAGCAGCAGGUUAAUACCCCGCUGUUCUGACGGUACCCAAAGAAUAAGCACCGGCUAACUUCGUG